UUAAGGAAAAGUAUUGUUGCAUUGUGUUCAGUAGAAAUAUCCCAGUUCUUUUCUGCACCAAAAUUGAGAUUAUAUUUUGGCCGUUUAUCAGGAAAGAAAAGUCCAAAGUGUUUCUCAACCUCUGGUUGCUUCUUAUUUUCAUCAAACAUGGCAAAUAAGUAAGUCUCUAUAGCUCUGUUAGGCCUCUUAGGAGUACCUCUUUUAACAUGCUGGAUCAAAUUUGAGAGAUAAGUACGCCCAUUGUCAAAUGUGGCAGCAAAUGCUCCGGCAGACGGCCAGCCACUUUCCGAAACAACCACCUCCAGAGAACCACCACUAGCCCUCUCAAGAGCAGAGUACAAUGCAU
rnacentral:misc_RNA from 1 species